AGAACCUGAAAAUUACAGAGUUGAUGACAGGGGAAACCACUUCUCUCUAAAGAUGAAAUCUUAGGCGGACCUCUCACUAUUGUGGCCUCUCCCAUUGCGGAGCACAGUCUCCGGACGCGCAGGCUCAGCCGCCAUGGCUCACUGGCCCAGCCGCUCUGCAUCAUGUGGGAUCUUCCCGAUCCGGGGCACGAACCCGUGUCCCCUGCAUUGGUAGGCGGACUCUCAACCACUGCGCCACCAGGGAAGCCCAAAGUAUCCAGAUGAUCUGAUUCACCGUUGAUUGGUCUUUGUAGAUAUAGACCCAGAAAAACAGCCAUAAAUACCCAGUCCCACACAGACCACACACAGCUAUUCUGACAGUAAGUGGGUUGAGAGGAGAGACAGUCACAGCUUCCUAGACCAACAUGAACCUCGGGAAGUCAUCUUAGCCCAUUCUCCCAUGUCAUGAAGACUAUACUUCCAACCAUUUUCAGAGAGACUUGGUGGCAAUGGUGGAGUCGAAGGAGACUUCCAGUGGCUUCAGGGACAAUGAGAAACAGAGGU